rnacentral:rRNA from 1 species
UUUUAAUUGAAGGCUUGUAUGAAGGGUUGGACAAAGGAUAAGCUGUCUUUUUUCUUGUUUUUGAAUUUGUCUUUUAAGUGAAAAGACUUAAAUUAUUUUAAGGGACGAUAAGACCCUAUAAAUCUUUAUAUUAAUAUAUUUUUAUUUUAAUUUUUAAUGUUUAUAAAGAUAAAAAUAUAAAAUAUUAUAUUGGGGUGAUAAGAAUAAUUAAUAAACUGUUCUAAAGAAAAACAAAGUUAUUUGUAGAAAUAAUAGAUCCUUCUUAGAGAUUAAAAGUUUAAGUUACUUUAGGGAUAACAGCGUUAUUUUUCUUGAGAGUUCUAAUCGAAAGAAAAGUUUGCGACCUCGAUGUUGAAUUAAAAUUUCUCUAUGGUGCAGCCGUUAUAGAAGAAAGUCUGUUCGACUUUUAAAAUUUUACGUGAUCU